GACGAACGCUGGCGGCGUGCUUAACACAUGCAAGUCGAGCGGUAAGGCCCUUUUGGGGGUACACGAGCGGCGAACGGGUGAGUAACACGUGGGUGACCUGCCCUCAGCUCUGGGAUAAGCCUGGGAAACUGGGUCUAAUACUGGAUAUGACCUUUCCUCGCAUGGGGUUGGGUGGAAAGUUUUUCGGCUGGGGAUGGGCCCGCGGCCUAUCAGCUUGUUGGUGGGGUGAUGGCCUACCAAGGCGACGACGGGUAGCCGGCCUGAGAGGGCGACCGGCCACACUGGACUGAGACACGGCCCAGACUCCUACGGGAGGCAGCAGUGGGGAAUAUUGCGCAAUGGGCGGAGCCUGACGCAGCGACGCCGCGU
rnacentral:rRNA from 1 species